GGUACUCCAACCCACCUGCUGCAACCUUACCUCAGUUGCUCGGCGGGAACGCCCCGGCCGCCUGCCCCCGCGCCGGCGCCGGACCCAGGCGCCCGCCGCAGGGACCCCAAACUCUCUUGCAUUACGCCCAGCGGGCGGAAUUUCUUCUCUGAGUUGCACAAGCAAAAACAAAUGAAUCAAAACUUUCAACAACGGAUCUCUUGGUUCUGGCAUCGAUGAAGAACGCAGCGAAAUGCGAUAAGUAAUGUGAAUUGCAAAUUCAGUGAAUCAUCGAAUCUUUGAACGCACAUUGCGCCCGCCAGCAUUCUGGCGGGCAUGCCUGUUCGAGCGUCAUUUCAACCCUCGAGCCCCCCCGGGGGCCUCGGUGUUGGGGGACGGCACACCAGCCGCCCCCGAAAUGCAGUGGCGACCCCGCCGCAGCCUCCCCUGCGUAGUAGCACACACCUCGACCGGAGCGCGGAGGCGGUCACGCCGUAAAACGCCCAACUUUCUUAGAG
rnacentral:sRNA from 1 species